GGCGCGCCUAAUACAUGCAAGUCGAGCGAGAAGACGUAGCAAUACGUUUGUAAAGCGGCGAACGGGUGAGGAAUACAUGGGUAACCUACCCUCGAGUGGGGAAUAACUAGCCGAAAGGUUAGCUAAUACCGCAUACGACUCCUGGUCUGCGGAUCGGGAGAGAAAGCGAUACCGUGGGUAUCGCGCUCCUGGAUGGGCUCAUGUCCUAUCAGCUUGUUGGUGAGGUAACGGCUCACCAAGGCUUCGACGGGUAGCUGGUCUGAGAGGACGAUCAGCCACACUGGCACUGCGACACGGGCCAGACUCCUACGGGAGGCAGCAGUAAGGAAUAUUGCGCAAUGGGCGACAGCCUGACGCAGCGACGCCGCGUGGGGGAUGAAGGUCUUCGGAUUGUAAACCCCUUUCGGCAGGGAAGAUGGAACGGGUAACCGUUCGGACGGUACCUGCAGAAGCAGCCACGGCUAACUUCGUGCCAGCAGCCGCGGUAAUACGAAGGUGGCAAGCGUUGUUCGGAUUUACUGGGCGUACAGGGAGCGUAGGCGGUUGGGUAAGCCCUUCGUGAAAUCUCCGGGCCUAACCCGGAAAGUGCGGAGGGGACUGCUCGGCUAGAGGAUGGGAGAGGAGCGCGGAAUUCCCGGUGUAGCGGUGAAAUGCGUAGAGAUCGGGAGGAAGGCCGGUGGCG
rnacentral:rRNA from 1 species